rnacentral:rRNA from 1 species
AGAGUUUGAUCAUGGCUCAGAACGAACGCUGGCGGCAGGCUUAACACAUGCAAGUCGAACGCGUGUAGCAAUACACGAGUGGCGCACGGGUGAGUAACGCGUGGAUAUCUGCCUUUUGGUUCGGAAUAACCCCGGGAAACUGGGGCUAAUACCGGAUGGUUCCUUCGGGAUAAAGAUUUAUCGCCAAAAGAUGAGUCCGCGUACGAUUAGCUAGUUGGUGAGGUAAUGGCUCACCAAGGCGACGAUCGUUAGCUGGUCUGAGAGGACGAUCAGCCACACUGGGACUGAGACACGGCCCAGACUCCUACGGGAGGCAGCAGUGGGGAAUAUUGGACAAUGGGGGCAACCCUGAUCCAGCCAUGCCGCGUGAGUGAUGAAGGCCUUCGGGUUGUAAAGCUCUUUUGGCGGGGACGAUGAUGACGGUACCCGCAGAAUAAGCCCCGGCUAACUUCGUGCCAGCAGCCGCGGUAAGACGAAGGGGGCUAGCGUUGUUCGGAAUUACUGGGCGUAAAGCGAGUGUAGGUGGUUUGCAAAGUCGGGUGUGAAAGCCUUGAGCUCAACUCAAGAAAUGCACUCGUUACUGGCAGACUAGAGGACCGGAGAGGAUAGUGGAAUUCCCAGUGUAGUGGUGAAAUUCGUAGAUAUUAGGAAGAACACCAGUGGCGAAGGCGGCUCACUGGUCCGGUACUGACGCUGAGGU